AGCUACUCAGUGAGUUUCUUUUGUUUGAAAUGUUGGGUUUAAAGGUACAAAAUACGAAUGACUAGAAUUCAUGAUGUUCUACAACUUACUAUGAACGGUCCCUUUUUUCUUCUUCCAUGCAUCUUGAUGAGACUGGAAAAAGAGGGUCCUAAAUUGACAAAGUGCUCAAUUUUGAGAAUGACGAUGUAAUCUUUGAGGAGAUAAUUAUUGGAUGCUGGAUACACCUCCCAUUGGAAGAACCUACCAUACAAAGUAUGGCCCUCCCAAGGCUCCUGGUGUUGAUGAGGUUUACCUGUACGGUGGUCAUGUGACUUGGAAGAAUGAACAUGGUUCGAAUUGUGUUUCCUCAGUAGUAAGGGAACAAAAGCUAUAGAAAGUUUGGCUAUGAAUUUGCAAAUUAAGGACAAGUAGAAUUUACUCAAGGGACUAAAGAAGAUCCUAAGUCUCAGUCAGCCAAGGUACAAGACAAACACUCACUAUAAUUUGUUAUAAGUUGCAUUCCUCAUGUAGGAUGACAAGAAGAAUGAAAUUUCAUCAUCUAGACACCAUCCACUUGAAGGUUCGCAUCAAUAUAAUGGUGUAUUUCAUUAUAAUUUAUAGGAGUGUGUAAUAACUAAUUAUGUAAAAUGAUUAUAUAAGCUUAGCAUUCCCUAGAAUAUAAAUAUGAAAAAUUUUCUUGUUGUUUCAUUUCAAUCAGGUAAGCAUUUUCUCAUAGUUUAAGUCUCUUAGAGACCUUUCUAAUUUCAACUUAUGUCAUAUUAUAUUGGUAUAUGAGUUUGUAGGAUUAAUAGAACUCAAUUUUACUAGUAGCCAUGGAGUGAACAUGCCAUGGUUGUAAAGUACUUUUGCUAGUAGCCAUGAAGUGAACAUGUCAUGAAUGUAGCUUUUUGAUAUUUGCACACCACAAGAAUGAUUUUGUGUACAAUUUUUUUUAUUUAUAAAAUGUACUACAAUAGCAUUUUGGAAAGAGUGCUAUUAAUGAAACGUCUUAUAAUAGCACUUUUAAGAGAAAGUGCUAUCAAACAUGUGCCAUAUAUUAGCACUUCCUUUGAAAGUGCUAUUAAACAUG